GUUAUCUCAUUUAUCACAUAUACUGACAUACAAGGGGUGUAGGUUAUCUCAUUUAUCACAUAUACUGACAUACAAGGGGUGCAGGUUAUCUCUUUUAUCACAUAUACUGACAUACAAGGGGUACAGGUUAUCUCAUUUAUCACAUAUACUGACAUACAAGGGGUACAGGUUAUCUCAUUUAUCACAUAUACUGACAUACAAGGGGUGCAGGUUAUCUCUUUUAUCACAUAUACUGACAUACAAGGGGUGCAGGUUAUCUCUUUUAUCACAUAUACUGACAUACAAGGGGUACAGGUUAUCUCAUUUAUCACAUAUACUGACAUACAAGGGGUGCAGGUUAUCUCUUUCAUCACAUAUACUGACAUACAAGGGGUACAGGUUA